rnacentral:lncRNA from 1 species
GCGAAUCCCAGAUAGACUCCUCUAGCAAUCGGACUCCUGUCGGACUUCACCAACAGAAAGUCUCCAUCCGAGCUUCUACAGCAGAUAACUCCCACCUGUGGUAUUAGCACCUAAGAUAUCUGACAGUAGUAGACUUGUCAGUAGCUUCAAGGCAUCCGAGCUUCUCCCAUAUCGAUGGGAUAGAGAGCCAUUCCGUUCCGUCAGAUGUCCCAGCUGAGCUUCAACCGACAGAUCCGAACUAUCUGGCAAGUCACGACAAUGGCCACUACCCUGCUUCACUCUCUGCAGUGAUUCUGCGUGGCUCC